rnacentral:rRNA from 1 species
GAAUUCGAUAAAUCGCGAAGAACCUUACCAGGUCUUGACAUCUUCUGCUAACUAAGAGUUUAGGCGUUCCCUUCGGGGACGGAAUGACAGGUGGUGCAUGGUUGUCGUCAGCUCGUGUCGUGAGAUGUUGGGUUAAGUCCCACAACGAGCGCAACCCUUAUUGUCAGUUGCCAGCAUUUAGUUGGGCACUCUGGCGAGACUGCCGGUGACAAACCGGAGGAAGGUGGGGAUGACGUCAAAUCAUCAUGCCCCUUAUGACCUGGGCUACACACGUGCUACAAUGGACGGUACAACGAGUCGCGAAACCGCGAGGUCAAGCUAAUCUCUUAAAGCCGUUCUCAGUUCGGAUUGUAGGCUGCAACUCGCCUACAUGAAGUUGGAAUCGCUAGUAAUCGUGGAUCAGC